AGCAGUGUAGCAUAGUGGUUAAGGAACAGGACUUGUAACCGAAAGGUUGCCGGUUCAACCCCUGCUGCUGUAC